GACGAACGCUGGCGGCGUGCUUAACACAUGCAAGUCGAACGGAAAGGCCCUGCUUUUGUGGGGUGCUCGAGUGGCGAACGGGUGAGUAACACGUGAGUAACCUGCCCUUGACUUUGGGAUAACUUCAGGAAACUGGGGCUAAUACCGGAUAGGAGCUCCUGCUGCAUGGUGGGGGUUGGAAAGUUUCGGCGGUUGGGGAUGGACUCGCGGCUUAUCAGCUUGUUGGUGGGGUAGUGGCUUACCAAGGCUUUGACGGGUAGCCGGCCUGAGAGGGUGACCGGCCACAUUGGGACUGAGAUACGGCCCAGACUCCUACGGGAGGCAGCAGUGGGGAAUAUUGCACAAUGGGCGGAAGCCUGAUGCAGUAACGCCGCGUGCGGGAUGACGGCCUUCGGGUUGUAAACCGCUUUCGCCUGUGACGAAGCGUGAGUGACGGCAAUGGGUAAAGAAGCACCGGCUAACUACGUG
rnacentral:rRNA from 1 species